rnacentral:ncRNA from 2 species
AACAACCUGGGCGAUGGGGUUCCGCCACUAACCGCACGCGCUGUAUGCGCGGAGCUGAUGACUCCUACGAGACA